UACGAAGGGGGCUAGCGUUGCUCGGAAUCACUGGGCGUAAAGGGCGCGUAGGCGGCCGUUCAAGUCGGGGGUGAAAGCCUGUGGCUCAACCACAGAAUGGCCCUCGAUACUGGAUGGCUCGAGACCGGAAGAGGUUGGUGGAACUGCGAGUGUAGAGGUGAAAUUCGUAGAUAUUCGCAAGAACACCAGUGGCGAAGGCGGCCAACUGGUCCGGUUCUGACGCUGAGGCGCGAAAGCCAGGGAGCAAACGGG
rnacentral:rRNA from 1 species